GUGGGGAAUAUUGGACAAUGGGCGAAAGCCUGAUCCAGCAAUGCCGCGUGAGUGAUGAAGGCCCUAGGGUUGUAAAGCUCUUUUACCAGGGAUGAUAAUGACAGUACCUGGAGAAUAAGCUCCGGCUAACUCCGUGCCAGCAGCCGCGGUAAUACGGAGGGAGCUAGCGUUGUUCGGAAUUACUGGGCGUAAAGCGCGCGUAGGCGGUUUUUUAAGUCAGAGGUGAAAGCCCGGGGCUCAACCCCGGAAUUGCCUUUAAAACUGGAAAACUUGAAUCUUGGAGAGGUCAGUGGAAUUCCGAGUGUAGAGGUGAAAUUCGUAGAUAUUCGGAAGAACACCAGUGGCGAAGGCGACUGACUGGACAAGUAUUGACGCUGAGGUGCGAAAGCGUGGGGAGCAAACAGGAUUAGAUACCCGGGUAGUCC
rnacentral:rRNA from 1 species